GGAACCCAAGAUUUAAAUUAACAAGGCUCAUACUUCUAGCCAAGUUGUUUACUGUCAUUACUGUUUACUGUUUUAAAGUAAUUAUUUUUAUUUAUUUUGAAUGAUCUGCAAAAGGGUGUAGAGUGAAAAGUGAGCCUUUCAUACCUGUCCCCAAGCCCCCCUUCCUCUGGUAGCCAUUUCACCAAUUUCUUAUAUACCCUUCCAGAGAUUUCUAUGUAUUUACAAAACUGUAUGCAUACACAAAAAUAUGUAAUUUUAAUAUUAUAGCAUAUAGACUAGAAAAACAUUUCCUUGGGAGAAAAGAAGACAUUAUAGUAUUGGCUUCAUGACCUAAUGCUCUUGCCCUCUGAAAAUUAGCUUAAAGGUUAAAAUAUCUCUCAGUCAGAAAACAGUAAUUUAUUGGGCAUAAUAUCCAAUCAGCAUCAGCUUUGAAAAAGAGGGGAAAAAAGAAGACUUUUUAGGAGGAAUUUCUAUGGUCUGGCUUGGUGUCCAUUCUUAAUGGUUCCUACUCUCAAUCCUAAAAGAGAAUAAGGCCAAGAUACCAGCUUUAAAGACAAUCUCUGCUUAACAAUAGAAGCCAAAUGUUGUUUAGGUAUAUAAUGGAAUCUUAUUUGGCAAGGAAAAUAAAUGAAGUAAGAUACAUACUAUGACAUGGAUGAACUUGAAAAUACUACGCUAAGAUGCCAGGGGCAAAAGACCAUAUACUGAACGAUUCCAUUUAUAUGAAAUGUCCAUAGUUGGCAAACCUAUAAAGAGAGGAAGUAGAUUAGUGGUUGCCAGGGCCUGGGGCAAAGAUGAGGAAUGACCACUACUGUUUGUGGGUUUCUUUUCGGGGCAAUGAAAAUGUAUGAAAACCACUGAACUGUAUACUUUAAAAUAGCAAAUUGAUGGCAUGUGAGUUAUUAAGCCAUAAUUAAACAACAACAACAGACACAGCUACAGUUUUAAACUGAAUAGGGAAGAGGAAUUGCUUGGGUGAUAAAGGAAACAUCUUCGAAGGUCGCCUCAGGACCAGAUGCCAUGGCAGCUGCGUGGCAGAAGUAUAAUUGGGUCCUGGGCUCAAAAGGAUGGCGUAAGGACCCAUGUCUGAGAGGGGAAGUUGGGCUGGUCACGUGUCAUUAGCCUGUUUCAACGGAACCGGGGUUAGGCCACUCCGGACGGUCUCAGGAGCAGGAGAGUCUGAACAGAGACCGUAGAAUCACCAACACCUGCGUCAGGCUAGCGAGGCUCCGAGGGACGAGAUGGAGCGCCCGGACCUGACAGCUGAGAGGGAGACAAAGACCUGGGGGCCCGCACGUGAUGAAACCGGCCAGCCACCCGACCGUACGGCAGGACGGGAGGGCUCGGGUCCGACGCCCUGGCCUGGGCGCGUGUCCGUGCUGUGCCUCCGCCCUUUUGCUUUGUCCUUUGUUGUGUUUCCGGAUAUGUGAAUCACAGCCACAGACGUGGAUAUGUCGCGCAGUGUUGGGGGAGACCUCUCCAGCCCUCAGCCCACACUGGUAACGGCUGAGAAGGUGGCAUGGCUGAAGCCGCGCCGAUGCUUCAAGUGCAGGGUGUCUGUCGGGCAGCGCAUGGGGAUCCCUGGGAGGUUUAGGAAUCCCAGUGUGGAGAGGCCCCUUCCUCUGCAAACCCUCGGCCUUGGCACCUGCUGGGGCAAUGAGGAUGCACCCAUUUACUUUCCCUCCUGGCGUAAGGAACUAAGCCCCUCCCCCUUCUCCCUCUCGGACAUCCAGCGUAAUGUCUUCGAUGAACUCCAAAAAGCCAGGAAGAAUUGCCCUCUUUCAAGUAGCUUCAGGUCUCCAUUCUUUAGACAUCCAGACGAAGUAAUACAAAUGGCCUGGCUACCUGCUUGGUAGGGAUAAAGCGGGAAAUGGAGGGUGUUAGUGUUUCCAUAAAUUAUCCUGCCAUGUCAAUAAAAUCUUGUAGAAAAAAAAA